GUCAGACUCAAUUAUUUUGUAUCAAAACAAUAUCUUAGCUUUUAACUAGCACAACUGCCAAUACUCAGAGUCACAUAUUAUGAAUCACUAUUUGCUCCUUCCUACACUUUCUAAUUUCCUGCUAAGGAGACAGUGCUGAAUGGGGUCAUUAAUCUGAAUUAGAAAUACUGUGACCUGCUCUGCACUUUACUUGCUAACACUGUGUGGCAGAGCGGCAUCUGUGGGGGUUUUGCUUUCUAUAGUGCUCUGAGAAAGAGAAGAGGCAAGGGAAGAUGCUGAACUAGUUUUAAUUUUUAAGCCCUUUAUAAUUCCAGGUGCCAUUUGUGCAUCUCAUACUGCGCCUUCAAAUUCUUGUUAUCAUUUCACUGUUUGUACCGGAGCUGUUGUCAAAUGACAAGCUUUGCUCAGCCUCUGUCUGGAAGUCCAGAGGCUCACCUUAGAAGGCUAAAAUAAUGUGGCCCCCUUAUUAUAAGAAAAGGAAGACGGGUACUUUUCUGGCCUGAUUGACAUAACUUAAUGGAUGUUCACUGGUCAUGCCAUGGAGGGAAGAAUCUGAAUUCACAGGAGCACCUGCAAAGCAGUUAGUUCAUGGAAGCACAGCACAGAGUAAUGAAAAGGUCUACUUCCUACUCCCACACUUAAGAGCCUCAGAACCACAAAGCAUUUUCAGAAUUCAUAAAUGGAAAAGUUCUUUCAAGAACAAAAUGAAGAAUAUUCCUAAUCCAGUGGCUGCCACAUGCAGACUUUGCCUCCUGACCACCCAAGGCAUCAUUUUAGUCAACUACCUCUCCUUCUGGAGCCUAACUUUAGAAAAUGCUUCCCACAUUGUCUCUUUUAGGAGACAAUUUUGAUGCAUGACGUUAGAGGAAACAACUACCUCAACAAGUUUGAAACUCCUAUAAAUUGCUCAGCCCCAACACAUGCUGCUUUUCCAGUAAAAGCCCCUAUUUGACAAAAGCGAAACUCCUUGGCCCCACCUGGUGGUUGCUGAAUCCAGUAAAUUCACCUGUUGCAUUUAAGACCCUGUCAGAAGCUGUACUUUGUCCUUUGACAUCUAUGGGGUUAUAGACAUUGAAUGUCCUUGGAUGAUGAAGUGAGGUCUCAUUCCAAGUGCUUAAGAUAAUGAAACCAUUAUGAGGACAGACGAUGCAACAUCAGAAAUUUUUGCAAUGCUAUUAAUUUCAGGCAGUGUCUUAAUUCGAAGUAGGUUGCAAGAUCAAAUAUAUGAAAAAGAUACUCCAAAUUUAAAACAGGACUUUCAUGCAAUAAGCAUAAAUGCUUCUUCUCUAAGUUAAGAUCUGGGGCACAGUCUGUAAAUUCUAGAUGCACAUUUUCCUCUUUUGAUAUCAAUUUCUGACUAUAGUAAACCAAUAAUUUUGAUUGAACAUAUUGAAUGUAGCAAAUAUUUGUACUUCCCUCUCUUAAACCAUUAAAAUGACAGUAAAGAUAUGCAAAAGGAUAGGAUAUGAAUAGGUGAAACAGUUAGGAAAUUCUCUUUAAAAUGCAUGGUAUAUGGGAUUACACUAACAGAUAAAAUACAACAGAGAAAAAUAUAUUCAGAGUACAAGAGAAGCCGCAAGAGAAGCUGCAGUGAAGGUGGAAUCUGUUACUCUAUGAAGAGACCACUGGCAUUGGGAACCUGAAAGAGAGCAGACACCAAUAAUGCAUCUGGCUAAAGAAUCUGUUGGCUGGCUUUUGGGUGGUGCAUAAUGAAGAAGGUUUAUGUUUCUGACGCCAAUGAGAAAAAUUAAGGGAAACUAGAAAUUCCAGGAAAAAG
rnacentral:lncRNA from 1 species